rnacentral:tRNA from 1 species
GGAGCGGUGGAUGAGCGGUUUAAGUCACACGCCUGGAAAGCGUGCGAGGGGUAAAACCCUCCGGGGGUUCGAAUCCCCCCUGCUCCGCCA